UACAAAUGCAGAUUUUGGGGCCCUACCUCAAACCUGUUAUACAGAAUCUCUGAGGAUGGAGCCCAGCAAUCUGCAUUUUAAC
rnacentral:miRNA from 1 species